CGCGUAGGCGGGUCUGCAAGUCCGGGGUGAAAGCCCCCAGCUUAACUGGGGAAGUGCCUUGGAAACUGCAGGUCUAGAGCGAGGUAGGGGCAUGUGGAACUUCGGGUGGAGCGGUGAAAUGCGUUGAUAUCCGAAGAAACGCCGGUGGCGAAAGCGACGUGCUGGACCUUUUCUGACGCUGAGGCGCGAAAGCCAGGGGAGCAAACG
rnacentral:rRNA from 1 species